rnacentral:tRNA from 1 species
UGAAAAUGAACUGUUUUUUUUAAACUAUAUUAAUAGAAAUUUAAACAUUCUAUGCUUUUUGAGGAGUUAGA